rfam:Triticum aestivum genome assembly, contig: Triticum_aestivum_CS42_TGACv1_scaffold_288379_4AL
UAAAUACUCCCUAUAUCCCAAAAUUCUUGUCUUAGAUUUGUCUAGAUACGGAUGUAUCUAAUACUAAAACAUGACUUGAUACAUCCGUAUUUAGACAAAUCUAAGACAAUAAUUUUAGAACGGAGGGAGUAUUUA